GUCAGUUUAGACCCUGUUUACAGCUGGUAAUAAGACGAGUUUCUGAUUAUCCUUACGCAAACGGUCAGCGCUAAAUAUAACUGUAAACGGGUUGCAAAAUAUUUUGUGACUGGGUCACAAAAACACAAACAGAUGUAGUCACAAACCACAUCGCAUUUGAGGUUUAAAACGCCGUCCUGAUUCAUCCCGGAUGGCAGCGAAGCACCACCUCUCACCUGUCAAUCACCCGCCAAACAGAGUUUAAACUUACAUGCGGAUUUAAAAGUAAAUAACCGUCUGAUUAGAAAACUUGAAAAAGCGAUUACAUACCCAGGAUCGAGAACUUCACGGCUGUUCCUCAGUGUGUCUGAUAUCAACGUGCAGGGUGACAAGAUGGCAAGCACACACAUCUGAAGCUGAACUAACACAUAUACUUCACUUAAACAACCAAUAAUUUUGCACGAUAUGUUGUGUUUGUGCUUAGAUUAACUCUAAGUGCUUUCUUUGUCUUCAUGACUUUUUUGGAGUUUAUUAUUGUUCAGUAACACACUGAUAUAGUGAUUGAUGUAUGUCUUCAUGAAAUCAUACACGCUUUCCUCAAAAUCCCAACACCACAACGAAAGAAUGGACAUACGCCGCAACAACAGUUGUGUUUACUUGACAAUGGAAAUAACACCCAUAUUUCUUGCUAAGCAUCAUGGGAUGUAGGAAAAAGGUGUAUACACAUCUGCUUGUAACAGGGAAUCAGGGUUCUAUAAUCAUAAAUCAUGCACGUUGAUUAUGCACAACUACUUUCAGUGUACAUGGUCUGAUUAUCUCCAUUAAGUUCAGCUGAUGCUUCACAUUUUCUACUUAAAUCUCAAACUCUUUCAUUAAUUCACUUCAGAUGCCAGUCGAGAUCUCUUUUAAAGGGGCAGUUUCAAUAGUUGCUGUGUAGUCUCAGUCGUCACGCCCACGGAACUUUGGCUGAACGUCUGAUGCAUAUGGCACACUUAACUGGAAACACUUCAGGAGUUUCGAAGUCAUCAUCUGAUUGGUCGGAUUCUACAGGAUUUCCGGGAGACAUGAGUGUCGCGUUCUGUAAUGGUCCGCCUGGAAACAAAGCAAAGCUGUCUGAUCGAAGAAGAAAAGCUGUCGUGUUUACAUGGGUGAGAAUGAGCAUUUAUCAAGAUCAGCUAAACGCUGGAUUCUCAAAAGUAUGCGAGGUUCAUGGCAUAGACUCUUUAAAAGACGUCCAAGAGAUUUGCUUGAGGCAUUUAGUGAAUCCAAAAGAGAGAUUUUAACCUGUGUGCCGACGGGAUUUGGCAAGAGUAUUAUUUUCCAAGCCUGGCCGACCCUUUGCCAGCAUUUGGAAGGAUUCCCUACUGAUCCAGUUUUAGUAGUUGUGUGCCCCCUCAUAUCGAUCAUGGAAGAUCAAGUUAAGUACCUAACUGAGAAGGGGAUAUCAGCCGCAUAUGCGGGUAAGCAUGAAAGAACAGACGCUGACAUUGCAGCUGGCCGAUUCAGUCUUGUGUUUGGUCUCCAGAAUUGCUUGUAGGUGAUAAAAAGUGGAGAGAUAUGCUCCAAACAGAUGUUUACCGGGAGCGUCUUAUAGGUAUGGCUGUUGACGAAGUGCACACCGUUGUACAAUAGGGGGAACACCAUGGCAGUGAUGCCCCAUUCAGAAAGUGGUGUGGUUUGGUUGGUGAGCUCAGAUCCCUCCUGCCCGUCUCCUUACCAGUGCUGGCCCUAACUGCUACAGCGUCUUUGUCAACAUGAAAGAAAAUAAUGAAGCACUUAAGACUACAGGAGUGCUUGGAAGUUGUCAGAAGCCCCGAUCGGAGCAACAUCAGACUUGCAGUUAAAAAAGUGUCUUCUGAUGCAGCAAAUACAUUUUCCUGGCUUGUCAACGAACUUGUGGUUAAGGGUCCACACACUGCACGUACUAUCAUUUAUUGCAAAACAAUAUCUGACUGUUCAAUGCUGUUUUUUUGCUGUGUUCCUUGCCUCCCUUGGACAAAGAGCAGUACAUCCACCUGGUGCUAGUAAUGUGUCAUCCAACAGAAAUUGUUGACAUGUUUCAUUCAAUGACAUCAGACAGUAUGAAAAACCACAUCAUUCAGGCUCUCGGAGACCCUCAGUCUGUCCUCAGAGUGGUGUUGGCAAUGUCGGGAGUGGAUUUAAAAAAUGUACAAUAUGUAGUUCAAUAUGGGCCACCAAAAGACAUUGAAACAUACAUGCAAGCGUAUGGGAGAGCAGGGAGAGAUGGCUCUAUGUCCCAUUCUCUCAUUCUGUAUCAUGGAAAGCAGCUAAUCGGCAUUUCAGAAAAAAUGCGUGAAUAUGUCAGUAAUGACAGUUCCUGCAGUUGAACUCAACUGCUGUACUUGUUUGAUGGGGAGCUUGUGCAGCCCCUUGCAGUAAAACAUGGCUGCUGUGACAAUUGUGCUAAGAUGUGUCAGUGCAAGGACAGUUGUGAUGGUAAUGCCAGUGACCUGGAACUUCUGCAAAGCCAAUUGCACACAAACUGAGAACUGUCAGCGAUCAUCAAACAGAAUCACUCCGUCAGAUGUUGAUGGACAGGCUUGAGGGAGACGUGGAUCAUGGACUAUGUGGAAAUAUUUCAGUUUACCACACAUUGCAGGAACACUACUCAACAAAAGACAAGCAUGAGAGAGACCCUGCAGUCAUGUGAGACACUGUUUUGCAUUGAUGACAUAACUUGCCGAGUUCAUGUGUACGAUCUUAAAUCAAGCCAAGACCAUUCUUGAAACUAUAAUGGAUGUGUUCGAAGACUGUGAAUCAGACGUUGACAGCAACUGUGCUGAUGAUGUCAAAUGUAAGAUGCAGCUUAAUUUCUUAUAUUUUCCCGUACUUCAGUACUAUUUGAUUUCAAAACUGAAAGUGAAAUGUUAGUUGUCACUGUCAACAUGUUGACUUUUUUUUUUCUUUUUUUUUUUUUUAAUCUUAAGUAUUUUGGCAUUCUUCAUUUAAUUACACUGCCGUUAUAAAAGAGAUUGAACCAUUAUAUUUCUGGUAAGCCGUUUACAUCUAAUUAUAAUUAUCUUAAUCAAAAAGGAUAACACCUUUUGAGCAGAUUCACUCUUAAUUUACUGAUUUUUUUUUUUGUUUGUUUUUUUUUCCAUUUGUAUACAUAUGUUUGUCCCGGUACAAACAAUACAUUUACUGUAAAAUACUUUAUUUUCAGUGGAGAAAAUGUUUUCAGUCAUGCAUUACUUUUCUAUGUAAAAUAUUAAUGUAAAGCAAUGUAAAGGUUAAAUGUGUAAACCUCUUUUAAUUUUGUCAUUGCUAUUAAUGAAAUGCUGGAGACAUUGCUGUAUAUUUGUCAGAAUUGUAGAAGUAUUUAUUAGUUGUAAACAUAAAAAUUUACAUUUUUGCAUUUUUAUAAUCUUAAGUUAAUAUUCAGCAUCAACAUUCAAAAAACUAACACUGUGAAACACUUUACAUUUCCAGGUUUUUAAUUGUUGUUAUUUUCUUCAUUUAUUUACAUAAACAACAAACUGCCCUGUAUUCUAAAAAAAUAUAGAAGCAAAAUUACCCCCCAAAAAAUGUCAAUAUAAAAAUCUAAUUAAAGUCCAAAGAUUCUAUGUGACCAGA